CCUACGGGAGGCAGCAGUGGGGAAUUUUGGACAAUGGGGGCAACCCUGAUCCAGCCAUUCCGCGUGAGUGAAGAAGGCCUUCGGGUUGUAAAGCUCUUUCGCAAGGGAAGAAAACUUAUGAUCGAAUAAAUCAUGAGGUUGACGGUACCUUGAUAAGAAGCACCGGCUAACUACGUGCCAGCAGCCGCGGUAAUACGUAGGGUGCGAGCGUUAAUCGGAAUUACUGGGCGUAAAGCGUGCGCAGGCGGUUUUGUAAGUCGGAUGUGAAAUCCCCGGGCUCAACCUGGGAACUGCGUUCGAAACUGCAAGGCUAGAGUGUGUCAGAGGGGGGUAGAAUUCCACGUGUAGCAGUGAAAUGCGUAGAGAUGUGGAGGAAUACCAAUGGCGAAGGCAGCCCCCUCGGGAUAAACACUGACGCUCAUGCACGAAAAGACGUGGGGAGGCAAACAAGGAUUAGAUACCCUCGGUAGUCCACGCCCUAAACCGAAUAGUCAACUAAGUUGUUGGUAGAGUAAAAAUACUAUGAGUAACGUAAGCUAACGACGUGAAGUUAGACCGCCCUGGGGAGGUACGGUCGGCGAAGAAUUAAAAACUUUAAAAAUUAAAGAAAUUAGUACGGCGUUGAGGAGAGCCGAACGGACGACGAACACGGGGAGGUUAGGNGG
rnacentral:rRNA from 1 species